CCAGGGGUCCUUCCAAUAACUAAAUGACGAAUCUGGCACCUUGACCCCCACCUAAAACCUCCUCUCUUUGCUUACUGGGGGCAACAAAACCAAAACUCCAGCUUUUGAUAUUCUUGUUUCUCUAUACUUCUAUUGCUUUUUGUGGUGUAAAAUUCUUAUCACGAGAUUGCGAACGAAGAUGGGUUGCUGUCCCAGCCAAAACGCCGAUUCCAAAGCCAGCAGGACCGCCCGUUGGCGAUCCACGGGCAUUGUUGCCCUGCGUGAUGCUAAAUUGAAGACUUUUCCGGAUGAGGUUCUUGAUUUAGACAAAAGUGUGCGCACCCUCGAUUUAACUCACAACAAAUUAGUUGGCAUUCCUAUGGAGAUUAGCCAAUUAGUCAACAUGCAGCGCCUGGUUUUGGCUGAUAAUCUUAUUGAGCGACUACCAAUUAACUUGGGGAAGCUGCAGUCUUUAAAAGUUAUGAUACUCGAUGGGAAUCAAAUUACUUCCUUGCCUGAUGAAAUGGGC
rnacentral:misc_RNA from 1 species